CACUCCCGGGUAACGUGGCUGGUCUGCACCUAUUCUAUGCAAUAGAAACAUGAUCGAUUCUUAUUAUGCUCAUUAAACGAAUGAAACUUAUUUAAACAGUGGAAGAGCUCCAGAGUAGGAGCCAAGUUCCAGCCGUGGACCAUGGUAGUCUGAUACCAGAGACUGAAGGGCUCGCUGAACCCUGUUAAGCUGUGAAACUAUGCCAAGCUCCUACAUCCAAGGCAGCACCCACAGCAGGACGCAAGUUCGUUGAAUGUAUGAAUCUCUGUGAAUGUCAAAUGUUAUUUUUUGAAUUUAUAGCACACCCAGGGCUGCUUGUACCUCAUCCCCAGGAAAUGAAAUCCAACAAAGGAGUCGUUCCACACGUUCCCCGGUCAAGCAGUGCUAUGGCAGGGCUGGCUGCACAAGUGCCUCACGUCAAAGUUCCUGCAGCAG
rnacentral:lncRNA from 1 species